rnacentral:lncRNA from 1 species
AUGCUGCCACAUUUGUUUCAAAGGGUAUGGUUUCUUAAGGGGGUGUCGUCCGGAGUUCUAAUGGUAGUUUUGUUGCUGCAAAAUGUGGCUAUCUCCUUGGCAAGUACGGUGCUAGAGAGGUGGAAGCUCUUGCUGUGCAUGAAAUUCUCAGCUGGCUCAAGGAUAUGCAAUUUCCUCAUGUUAUUAUUGAGAUGGACUGCAUGCAAGUGUACAAUGCUUUGGUUGAUAAAGUCCUAAUGGCUUUGGUUUGAUUAUUAAUGAUUGUAGAGCUUUGGCUUUGUCUAUAGGAGAAGUGAUUUCCUCGUUUGCUAGACGAUCUGCGAACACUGCUACCCAUGUUGUUGCGCGGGUGGGGGGUUCUUUGUUAGAUUCAAGAGAGUAGAGGCAUGUUCCGCCUCCUUAGUUGCUUUCCAGUCUGUAUGGUUCUUCUAGUUAAUCAAAUUCUACUUUCUUCAAAAAAAAAAAAAAAAGUCAUAUGUCAGUCAUUAUAAAAAAAGAAUAUUUUAAUUAAUUUUUUUGCGGGAAAAUUAAUUUUCAUGCUUGAAUUAUUAUUUAAUUAAUUUUACUAGGUAAAUAUUUAAUUUGUUACAUAAUUUAUGAUUGAAAAUUUCUGUCAUAAAUGAUUUUGUUUUUAACUUCGUUUAUGAUUAAUAUUUUCUGUCAUAGGACGAAAAUUUAUGUUGAAAAAAAUUCUGAAUUAUUUCAUUUAAAUUUAUGCACUCACGUAUUUGAAAUUCAAUACGAACAAAAAAUUAAAUUAUACAUUCUAUUAGGCCCAAAAACACUUUAUAUUAAUAAUAUCAUCCAAAAACACUUGUAUUAACAUUUAUAUCCAAACAAUGUAAUUCAGAAGAUAAAUUAUCUAGCAACCAAGAGCAAAUGUUUCAAAUUUACAAGCCAAGAAGCCAUCAAAUCUUAUAGUGCAGAACUCCUCCCAUAUUCUCAGCAAAAUUCCAGCACAUAAACUCCCAUUGAGAACAACUACCCAGCAAAACUCCCAAGUCCAGUAGUUUCCUUAAACCUGCAUGUGCAACACUAAUUGAAUAUGCCCAGCACUAUCAUUAUAAAAAAUUAACUAUUACUGUAAAACUCUUAAGUUUUAGAUACAGUAAAAUCAUUACAAAUUCAAACUCAAUCUGCAUGUGUAGCACCAAUGAAUAUAGCCAGCACUAUCAUUAUAAAGAGCUAUUUAUUAAAGUAAAACUCUAAGUUUCAAAUGCAACUUAAAUAAACUACCUGCAGAAUCAUAAGGCAACAACACAAACUCAAAACAUCAUUUUGAAGGUUAGCCAAAUUCAAACCGUCAAUUUCAAUGAACAGAGCAAAAACCUGCUGCUCUAUUCUACUUAGAGUUUGCCUUAAUUCUUCAAGAGCUUGAACUUGCAUAGUUUCAUGUUCUUGAGCCUCUCUAAGACAACUCUCUAAUUCAGCUUUUGCUUCAUUGUUGGCACAUUCCUCAGUUAAUUCUUUAGCCUCCUUGGCUGCAGCCAAAGCAUUUAUGUCGUAAUAUUUUUGUUCUACAAGUUCUACUUGGUGUUUCUCAAUUGUUUCUUAAAGCAAAUUCUCUAUGGCUGUUUUGUCCCUCUUGAUGCUCUCUACUUUAUUUUCUUCAACCCAGGAGGACAAAGAUAAUACAAAUCUUUAACAAACUAUUGCAGUUCAUCAAAACAAAGUUCAGAAGUGUAAUUUAGUCAACAAAAGACGCAUCUACUAAGUUCAUUUAUGCAGUUAAAGCAAAAAAAAAAAGUUUAUCCAUCCCAAUACUUCAGAAAUUUCAUUUCCUCCCAAGUGCUACAGAAUUAAUUUUUCAACUAAUUAAAACUAAUAUGACUUUAAAAACUUCACUUACAUAAAAACUAAUUCUCAAUUACAAAUAGUCUGAGUUUGAUUAAACUCAAAAAACAUCACAAGACAUAAAAAGCCUGUCAAGAUCACAAGUAAACAAGAUUUUGCUAAAAUAUGCCAAAACGUCCAUAUUAUCUUCAUUUAUAUGACGAUUGAAGAAAAUAGCAGCUCGAUCUAAUAUACCAGCUAACUCUACAAUUAAAAAGAAUGCUUUGAGAAUCCAACUACCUGAAGUUUGGUAACCAAACCUUUCUUCUGCUCUUCAAGCUCUCUAAUCUAGUUCUUAUGAAAAGGGGAAUAAAAGAAAAAAGUAUAUUCAUUAGAAAGAGCAGUUGAGAUAAAGUCUUUUGAAAACCAAACAAUAUGUAAAACUGCAUGUGUACUUAGAGACCUUAAUUUCUGGAUUUGAGCUUCUUACGCAGUUUUCUUUUUUGAAAGCUCUUCACCUGAAAUGACAGAUGAAUGUUAAGCAGGGGCCUCAUCACAUAAUUAUUGGCUACUGCCAAUCAAAUAUGUAAAAUCCAAAUACAAUGCAUCUGCCAGGCAGAAAAAGCUAAAGAUAGGGAAAGGAAUGGUUUAAUCACUUUCUAUAGUUUUAAAAAUUUUGAUUUUAAAUAUAUCAUAAACUAAGAUGGAAAUUGCACAUUAACUAAUGCAGUAGUCAAAUUUUUGACAUACUAAAGACAAAAUCAUGGGAUGAAAACAAAAAGAUAUGCAUGACAUGCUAUUAGAGGGACAUAUGAACAUGAUUCUUCUUCCAAUAACUGCUCAAACUAUUAGUUUAAAAUUGUAACCGAAAAUAAAUGAAGAGAACUUAAUCCAACAACUCCCAAUUUAGGACUCACAUUUGAAAACAAUUUCUCGGUUUUAAGUCACAUUCCUAACCUAUCACAGAGUGGAACCUAUGUAAAGACGAGCAUGUACACACACACACCAAAAAACAAAAAAAAAGGUCUGGAACAAAAAGCAUACCCUUCUUUCUAGAGUUACAACGUAACCCUUUGACGGUAUUCCUCCCGUAAAGUUUCAAGUUCUAUAUCACUGUUUUUUUUCUAAUCCAAAACUUCAAGCUAUUAAAUCACAAAUUAAAAAAAAAAAACCUUAAAUCUCUCUAUCUCUAUCAUCUAAUGCAACUUCUUAACCAAACCCAUCAUUUCAUUUAGUCAAUCAGUCAGUCACUUACUCACAAACUCUCCAAAAUACAAAAUUUCUCUCAACCACUUAGGGCUUUAAACAAAAUUAGAUGAAGAAGAAAAACAAAACCUGGAAUUCAAGGUUUAGGGCUGCAAUCCUCUAGUUCACGUGACAAAGUCAGGGAGUUGAUGGUUCUGGUUGCGUCACGCCAUCGCAAUUUGUGGUCAUGGUAACCGACUUGAAUUUUGUCAUGGGUCUGUGAUUUGGGUGUUGCUUUGUCGUUUGCUCGAUGGUGGUAGUUGCUGAUUGUGUAUGGAAAACUAUAUAUAGGGAAUGGAUUUGGCUAGGUUUUGAGUGCUAAUUGUGAAAGUGAGAGUGAUGAUAAUUGUGCCUAGGGUUUGAGUGUCGUUUGUGAGAGUGAGAGUGAUAAUGACUAUGGUGAGUGUAGGCUAAUUGAUUGAGAGUGUCACGAUGAUUGUGGCUAAGGUUACAGUGCUGAUUGUGGAGUAACAGUGACGAUGAACGUGCCUCGGGUUUGAGUGGCCUUUGCGAGAGUCAGAAUGACGAUGGCGAUGGUGAGUUGUGUAGAGUUUAGGACUUAAGAAAUGUUUUUGCUUUGUUUAGAUUUCGGCUAAAUGCACCGUUUUGUACUAUAUAUUUUUUUUUAUUUCAAAAAUCAUUUCACAUGCUAAACGC